CAAAUCAAUUGUAGUGGAAACGAAGGCACAAGUUUGUGAGUCUGCUCUUCUGAGGACACUCCAGAGAAGGGUGUGAAGCAAAGUCCAGUGAAGUUAUCCAGGAGAUCAUUCAUGGGUUUCAUCAGGACAGAGAAGCCGUCCCUUGCCAGUGCAAGCCCCUAACUGAGGAAUGUUCUCAAGCAAGUAUACAAGCUGAAGCUUAAGGUUGCACGUGAGCAGUUGGCCAAAAGAACUGAGAGAGCAAUAAGCUACUGCUU
rnacentral:lncRNA from 1 species